AUUUAUAACUUUACAGGUAUUACACUUGUUACUGUUCUGAUUCUUUUUUAAAUUGUAAGGGCAUCUCCAUCAAGGAGAAACUCAAAAAGUUUCUCAAACAAAAAAAA
rnacentral:sRNA from 1 species